UUCACGCUACAAUGGGUUUAUGGUUUUCUAAAAUUACAUAGGAGUAAUAGAAAUCGAACUACUACCUAUAUAUAAAUUUAACUGAUAUGUGCAGAGUUGUAAUGCUUAUUUAGCAAUUUUCAGUUUGUUAAAUAUCAAAUGAACAUGACAACAUUGAUGUUCAUUUACAUAUAUAGGUGCUGACAACUUUUAUAAGGGACCUUAAUUUCGCGACGGUACGAAAAUCAAUUACCACUAUGAUUUUGGACAUGGAACCUGGAAAUGAAUAUAUUUUUGCAAUAGUUUCACAAUGUGGUGGUGCCAUUUUUCCUCAAAAGAUUGGAUCUGGAAUUUUGAGCUAUUUCGUUAUAUAUCAAUUCGAGUAUUAUAACUGACUUACUAAAUACCUACUUAGAGAUCUUGUGAGAACCAAGGAAUGGGCCUGGUAGGUGCGGUUAUAAAGGUCAGAAUAUCGGUCAAUCACAAAAGGUCGGAAGAGAUCGUAUCUAUAACUCCUCGAGUAGGAAGUCUGUCAGAUAAUAUUAACAUUCUUUAUUCAAAAACAUUUGGAUCUAUUUAUUGACGUUUUGGAUUUAUUUAAUAAUUAGAAUAUUUAAUUAAUGCUUA